GGUGAGCUACUAGAGCCCAGUGAGCAGAAUAGUAAAGCAUUUAAAACAUAUGAUAACAUGAAAUGCAUCACAUCACAACUAAUCAUAUCAAGGAUGAACUUGUCACCAUUUAGCCCUCUACAUAAUCCAAUCAUGCCAGGGGCGUAGUGCAGGCCACACCUGGUCUUUCUCUUAUACAUAACAUAACAUAACAUACAUAAUCCAUGAUGCCGGGGGCGUAGUGCAGGCCACAUCCGGUCUUUCUCUUACAUAGUGCCAGGGGCGUAGUGCAGGCCACACCUGGACUUCCAUAUCAUAUCAUCAUGUCAUAACAUAUGAGGGCUAAUGGAUCAUUCAACAUUCAUCCACAUCAUCAACUUAUUAUGCAAUGCAACAUAUUCGUGAUUUCUAAUGCAAGCAUCCUAGAAUAUCACAUGGCAUCCGUGAUGCAUGAACAUGCUCAAAACUGAUUUAUUUAUUUAUUUAAAACCAUAAGAGUCAUUCCACUCACCUCUGGCUAGCUCUGACAGACACAGAAGAAGCUGAACUCACUGCUGGGGUCCUCGGUUCCUCGGGUCCAAACCUACACAGGUGGACUCAAAUGAGGGACCAACAUACUAUAACAUAACUCUAAAAACAUCCCCCAAAAACCCCCUAAAACAUCUCAAAACAUCCAUGCAAGAACAUGCAAAAGAAGGCUGGACAGGGCACUUUCGGCGGCAGGUUCGGCGGCCGAAAGUCCCU
rnacentral:lncRNA from 1 species